rnacentral:rRNA from 1 species
CAGCCGCCGCGGUAAUACAGAGGGUGCGAGCGUUAAUCGGAUUUACUGGGCGUAAAUCGUGCGUAGGCGGCUUCUUAAGUCGGAUGUGAAAUCCCUGAGCUUAACUUAGGAAUUGCAUUCGAUACUGGGAAGCUAGAGUAUGGGAGAGGAUGGUAGAAUUCCAGGUGUAGCGGUGAAAUGCGUAGAGAUCUGGAGGAAUACCGAUGGCGAAGGCAGCCAUCUGGCCUAAUACUGACGCUGAGGUACGAAAGCAUGGGGAGCAAACAGGAUUAGAUACCCCUGUAGUCCCUGUCUCUUAUAC